rnacentral:rRNA from 1 species
AACGAACGCUGGCGGCAGGCUUAACACAUGCAAGUCGAACGCCCCGCAAGGGGAGUGGCAGACGGGUGAGUAACGCGUGGGAACGUGCCCUUCGCCUCGGAAUAGCCCCGGGAAACUGGGAGUAAUACCGGAUACGCCGUAUUGGGAAAGAUUUAUCGGCGAAGGAUCGGCCCGCGUUGGAUUAGCUAGUUGGAGUUGUAAUGGACCCCCAAGGCUACGAUCCAUAGCUGGUCUGAGAGGAUGAUCAGCCUCACGUGGACUAAGCCACUGCCCCGAAUCCUACGGGAGGCAGCAGCGGGAAAUCUUGGACAAUGGGCCAAAGCCUGAACCAGCCAUGCCGCGUGAGUGAAGAAGGCCUUAGGGUUGUAAAACUCUUUCGCCGGAGAAGAUAAUGACGGUAUCCGGAGAAGAAGCCCCGGCUAACUUCGUGCCUGCAGCCGCCGUAA